rnacentral:rRNA from 1 species
CUCAAAGGAAUUGACGGGGGCCCGCACAAGCAGUGGAGUAUGUGGUUUAAUUCGACGCAACGCGAAGAACCUUACCAGGGCUUGACAUAUACAGGAAUAUAUAAGAGAUUAUAUAGCUCUUCGGAGUCUGUAUACAGGUGGUGCAUGGUUGUCGUCAGCUCGUGUCGUGAGAUGUUGGGUUAAGUCCCGCAACGAGCGCAACCCCUGUUCUUAGUUGCCAGCACAUAAUGGUGGGAACUCUAAGAAGACUGCCGGUGAUAAAUCGGAGGAAGGUGGGGACGACGUCAAAUCAUCAUGCCCUUUAUGUCCUGGGCUACACACGUACUACAAUGGCUAUUACAGAGGGAAGCGAAGCCGCGAGGUGGAGCAAAACCCAAAAAAGUAGUCUCAGUUCGGAUUGAAGGCUGAAAUUCGCCUUCAUGAAGCCGGAAUUGCUAGUAAUGGCAGGUCAGCAUACUGCCGUGAAUACGUUCCCGGGCCUUGUACACACCGCCCGUCACACCAUGAGAGUUGGGGAUACCCGAAGCCUGUGAGCUAACUUAUAGAGGCAGCAGUCGAAGGUAGAAUCAAUGAUUGGGGUGAAGUCGUAACAAGGUAGCCGUAUCGGAAGGUGCGGCUG